AUGCUCCUCCGCGCCGGGCUCCCCCACCUCCGCCGCCGCGCGGCGGCGCUGCCCCUGUCGCUCGCCCCGCGCCGGCUCUCGUCCGAGCCUCCGCCGGGCGUCGAAUGGAUAGACACGGUGGACUACCUGGACGAGACGGGGGAGGUCCUCUCGUCCGCGCCCGGGGCGCGCCCCGCGGUGCCGGGCGCCGACCCCACCAUCCUCUCCGGCUCCUCCGCCCACCCGCUCCCGCGCCCCGCCGCGGCGGCCCGCCUCGCCGCGCUCGCGCUCCGCCACCGCUCGGGGCCGUCCCUCUCCGCCGCGCUCUCCGCGCUCCCCUCCCAGCCCGACCCCGCGCUCCUCCUCCUCGCCGCCAACUCCCUCCCCGCCUCCGACCCCACCCCGCUCCUCUCGCUCGUCGGCUGGGCCCGCCACCAGCCCUGGUUCGUGCCCUCCGAUGAUCUGUCCUUCAUCGUGGCCGCGCGUCUGUCGCCGGCCACCCACUCCUCCGACCUCAUGUCGCUCUUCGACGACGCCCUCUUGCACCCGGAGCCAGCCUCUUUCCCCAAGACCCUCAACGCCGUCGUCUCCGCGCUCUCCACCCACGGCCUCCUCGAGCCCGCCUUCUACUGCUUCAAGCGCCUCCGCGACGCCGGCUUCCAUGGCCUCCAGACGCCCACCUGCAAUGCCCUCCUCUCGCUGCUGCUCGCCAGGGGGCUCGCCUUCAAGGCCUUCGAGGUGCUCGACGAAAUGUCUGUGGCGGGCUGCGAGCUCGACAAGGGCACUUACGAGCUUGCUGUGCCGGCGCUUGCACGUGCUGGAAGGAUUGACGCAUCACGCAAGCUGUUUGAUGAAAUGAGACAGAGGGAUGGGGUCGGGCCUGCCUCGCCGGGGGUGUACAGCACUAUGGUCGAUGUGCUGGCCAAAUCAGGGAGGCUUGACGCUGCGAUGGGGAUGUACAGGGAGAUGGUGGCAGUGGGGCACAGGGUGAGCACGGCUGUGAGCACCGCCAUGGUGGAGGGGCUUGUGAAGGCUGGGAAGCUGGAUGCAGGGAUGGAGCUUUGGGAGGAGAUGCGGCGAGGAGGGCUCCGACCAAGCUUUGGGUUGUACACCAUGGUAGUCGAGGCAAAUGCACGGUCAGGAAGGCUGGAUGUCGCUGCGAAGCUGUUUGGUGAUAUGGAGAAGUCUGGCUUCUUCCCUACUCCUGCCACAUAUGCUUGUUUGGUCGAAAUGCAUGCUUCAGCGGGGAAUGUGGAUGUAGCAAUGAGGAUGUACCACUCGAUGGCAAAUGCAGGGACAAGGCCAGGGCUGAGCACAUUUACAGCAUUACUGACCAUGCUGGCGAAUAAGAAGCUGCUUGAUUUGGCUGCAAAGGUGCUGCUUGAGAUGAAGGCAUCAGGGUUCCCCAUCGAAGUGACCGCGAGUGACCUGUUGAUGAUUUACAUCAAAGAUGGGUCGACGGAGCUUGCUCUCCGGUGGCUGCGGUUCAUGGGUUCUGCUGGGAUACGAACCAACAAUUUCAUCAUAAGGCAGCUCUUUGAGUCUUGCAUGAAGAUGGGGCUGUAUGACUCGGCACGGCCACUGCUCGAGACGUAUGUCGGUGCGGCGGCAAAGGUGGACAUGAUACUCUACACUUCAAUCCUCGCACAUUUGGUGCGGUGCCAGGAUGAGGACAGCGAACGGGCAAUCAUGAACAUCCUGAGCGUGAGCAGGCACAAGGCGCACGACUUCAUGUGCGGGUUGUUCACCGGGCCAGAGCAAAGGAAGAAGCCCGUGCUCUCCUUUGUCCGGGAGUUCUUCCAAGGCAUUGACUACGAGAAUGAGGAGAGUGCGGCGAGGUACUUUGUGAACGUGCUCCUCAACUACCUGGUGCUCAUGGGGCAGAUGAACCGUGCACGAUGCGUCUGGAAGGUCUCUUAUGAGAACAAGCUGUUCCCUAAGGCCAUCGUAUUCGACCAGCACAUUGCCUGGUCCCUGGACAUCCGGAACCUGUCAGUGGGAGCGGCGCUUGUCUCUACAGUGCACACGCUGCACCGGUUCAGGAAGCGGAUGCUCUACUACGGGGUCGUGCCGCGGCGCAUCAAGCUGGUGACAGGGCCGACGCUCAAGAUGGUGGUGGCCCAGGUGCUGGCUUCGCUGGAGUCGCCAUUCGAGGUGAGCAAGGUUGUCCUGCGCGCGCCCGGGGACUCGGUGCUCGAGUGGUUCAAGAAGCCGAUCGUGCAGCAGUUCCUGCUCAACGAGAUACCGUCGAAGUCCGACGUCCUGAUGCACAAGCUGAACGUUAUGUUCCCAAGCUCGGCGCCAGAGGCCCGGUCUCUGGCCCUUCCCAGGUCCCUUGGCAUGUCACGGUGA
rnacentral:rRNA from 1 species